rnacentral:rRNA from 1 species
UACGGGGGGGGGCAAGCGUUGUUCGGAAUUACUGGGCGUAAAGGGCUCGUAGGCGGCCAACUAAGUCAGACGUGAAAUCCCUCGGCUUAACCGGGGAACUGCGUCUGAUACUGGAUGGCUUGAGUUUGGGAGAGGGAUGCGGAAUUCCAGGUGUAGCGGUGAAAUGCGUAGAUAUCUGGAGGAACACCGGUGGCGAAGGCGGCAUCCUGGACCAACACUGACGCUGAUGAGCGAAAGCCAGGGGAGCAAACGGG